rnacentral:rRNA from 1 species
UACGUAGGGUGCGAGCGUUGUCCGGAAUUAUUGGGCGUAAAGGGCUCGUAGGCGGUUUGUCGCGUCGGGAGUGAAAACUCAGGGCUUAACCCUGAGCCUGCUUCCGAUACGGGCAGACUAGAGGUAUGCAGGGGAGAACGGAAUUCCUGGUGUAGCGGUGAAACGCGCAGAUAUCAGGAGGAACACCGGUGGCGAAGGCGGUUCUCUGGGCAUUACCUGACGCUGAGGAGCGAAAGUGUGGGGAGCGAACAGG